rnacentral:lncRNA from 1 species
AUGUCACACCUGCACUGUGAAGAACUCAUGGUGACAUUGAGGCCAUUUAAUUUUGGACCAUAUAUUCUUAUUAUGUGGCAGAGACUAAUAACUUUUAACAGUACCACAGGUACUGGGAUAUCCCUUGUUUUGCUUGGGCAGCCUUGGCGAGGGGCAGGAGCUUGUGGGCACACGUGGCUAGUGUGCUUUGUGUGCCUUAUGUGCCUUGCCUCCUGUGGUUUUUGUGCUUUGUGUGCCCUGCGUGUUGGUGGCUCUGGCUCCGAGUCCGGUGUCGCCAUACCCAGCCCUGGUGCCCGGGCUGUGUGCUCUGCGUGUCUGUGCUGUGUCCGUGAGGCUGCGGGGCAUAGCGAGAAGAGUGAGAAGAACUUAAUAAUGGUCAUGAACGUUAAGGCAGUUGGUCUCUUUUCAUCUCUACCCUGUGCACUCUUGUUACACUCCAAGUCCUGGUACUGGGAAAGGAAGAAUUCACUGUAUCUAUGGAGCUAAGGAUUUAUUCUUAAUCCAGGAAUUCCCGUUGAGUGUGCUGACAUCUUGUGGCUGGAUGGAUAUUUCAACAAGUCAUGUGUAUGCUGAGGGGAGGCAAUUCCUGCACAGCAUCUUGGGAUCUCCUGCUCUUCUUGAAGUCUUCAGCCAAAGGCCCCAUGCUGAGAAACAUUUUGAAUUUGACUACACAACAUUGAUUGUUUUUCUUCUUUCUCGGUUGGAUUUUCUUAUUUCACCUCAAGCCCCAUAAUUUUGGGGGAAAAAUAAAUACAUUUAUUUUCUUCA